GAUUACCAAAUUUAUUUAUAGAAGGACCAAGCACUCUUGUUGGUUUGGAUGCUUCAUCCUUUGAAUUUAUAAAUGGGUCAUUUAUAAAUUCUCAUCUGAGCCAUGUUUUGCUUUCCUGUAUUUCACCAUUGUAAACCAAGUUAUUUUCAUACCAAUGUACAUAGUCCCUCCGACUCAACUCCCUGCUCAGGCUCAAGUGCUCCGCGGCGGGAAAGCGCCUCCCAGCUCCGCUAACCCGGAAAGUCGGUAGACUUCCUUCCGUUCUUUUAAGCUCCUGCGCAACCACAGCUGACAUCUUUUAAAGAAUAAAAAUUUUAAUUUAUCUGAUUUUGUUAAUUGU
rnacentral:lncRNA from 1 species